CUUGCUACCUGACCUAGCGGCGGACGGGUGAGUAAUGCUUAGGAAUCUGCCUAUUAGUGGGGGACAACAUUCCGAAAGGAAUGCUAAUACCGCAUACGCCCUACGGGGGAAAGCAGGGGAUCUUCGGACCUUGCGCUAAUAGAUGAGCCUAAGUCAGAUUAGCUAGUUGGUGGGGUAAAGGCCUACCAAGGCGACGAUCUGUAGCGGGUCUGAGAGGAUGAUCCGCCACACUGGGACUGAGACACGGCCCAGACUCCUACGGGAGGCAGCAGUGGGGAAUAUUGGACAAUGGGCGAAAGCCUGAUCCAGCCAUGCCGCGUGUGUGAAGAAGGCCUUUUGGUUGUAAAGCACUUUAAGCGAGGAGGAGGCUACUUAGAUUAAUACUCUAGGAUAGUGGACGUUACUCGCAGAAUAAGCACCGGCUAACUCUGUGCCAGCAGCCGCGGUAAUACAGAGGGUGCGAGCGUUAAUCGGAUUUACUGGGCGUAAAGCGUGCGUAGGCGGCUUCUUAAGUCGGAUGUGAAAUCCCUGAGCUUAACUUAGGAAUUGCAUUCGAUACUGGGAAGCUAGAGUAUGGGAGAGGAUGGUAGAAUUCCAGGUGUAGCGGUGAAAUGCGUAGAGAUCUGGAGGAAUACCGAUGGCGAAGGCAGCCAUCUGGCCUAAUACUGACGCUGAGGUACGAAAGCAUGGGGAGCAAACAGGAUUAGAUACCCUGGUAGUCCAUGCCGUAAACGAUGUCUACUAGCCGUUGGGCCUUCGGG
rnacentral:rRNA from 1 species